rnacentral:rRNA from 1 species
CUACGGGGCGCUCCAGUGAGGAAUAUUGCACAAUGGGGGGAACCCUGAUGCAGCAACGCCGCGUGGAGGAUGACGCAUUUCGGUGUGUAAACUCCUUUUAUAUGUCAAGAAAAUGACGGUAGCAUAUGAAUAAGCACCGGCUAACUCCGUGCCAGCAGCCGCGGUAAUACGGAGGGUGCAAGCGUUACUAGGAAUCACUGGGCGUAAAGGACGCGUAGGCGGGUUGGAAAGUCAGGUGUGAAAUCCUACAGCUUAACUGUAGAACUGCACUUGAAACUUCUAAUCUAGAGUAUGGGAGGGGGAGAUGGAAUUAGUGGUGUAGGGGUAAAAUCCGUAGAUAUCACUAGGAAUACCUAAAGCGAAGGCGAUCUCCUGGAACAUUACUGACGCCAAGGCGUGAAAGCGUGGGGAGCAAACAAGAUUAGAUACCCCCGUAGUC